rnacentral:rRNA from 1 species
AGAGUUUGAUCCUGGCUCAGGACGAACGCUGGCGGUGUGCUUCACACAUGCAAGUCGAACGGAGUAGCAAUACUCAGUGGCGGACGGGUGAGUAACACGUGGGAAUCUACCAUUAGGUGGGGAAUAACAGGCCGAAAGGACUGCUAAUGCCGCAUAUGUAGGCAUCUCGACAGAGAUGUUUAUGAAAGGAGUAAUCCGCCUUUUGAUGAGCCCGCGUCCGAUUAGCUAGUUGGUAGGGUAAAAGCCUACCAAGGCGACGAUCGGUAGGUGGUCUGAGAGGAUGAUCACCCACAAUGGGACUGAGACACGGCCCAUACUCCUACGGGAGGCAGCAGUGGGGAAUUUUACGCAAUGGGGGAAACCCUGACGUAGCGACACCGCGUGAGCGAAGAAGCCCUUUGGGGUGUAAAGCUCUGUCAACAGGAACGAAACAAAUGACGGUACCUGUGGAGGAAGCAUCGGCUAACUACGUGCCAGCAGCCGCGGUAAGACGUAGGAUGCAAGCGUUGUCCGGAUUUAUUGGGCGUAAAGAGUUCGUAGGCGGUUUGUUAAGUCUGAUGUUAAAGACCGGGGCUCAACCUCAGAAAUGCAUUGGAUACUGGCAGACUGGAGUGCAGUAGAGGCUAGUGGAAUUCCCAGUGUAGCGGUGAAAUGCGUAGA